ensembl:lncRNA
CCGCAGCCCCACAGCUCGUUGCCGAGGGCUCGAGUCGUUGUGGGGCCGUCGGAGAAGGAACGGGGCUGCGCGGUAGCCGACUCGCCGCGCCUCGCCGCUGCCCCAGGAGCCGCGCGCUUCUUCCUGCUUUUCUUUCCUUUAUUUUGUUGUUGUUUGUUUGUUUGUUUUCCUUUCCUUUUUUUGUUUCCCCCCUCUUUUUGCGCGUUAUUCCGUUGUCCUCCCCGGCUCCGCGGCGCUUUUUCGUUCCUCUCUCCGAGCGGCAUUUCUCCCGUGUCCGUGUCACGGGGAAGCGCCGCUGCCGGUACCACAGGCAGUGCCCCGUCCCCGCGUGGGCAAGAACAGGAGGGAAAAAGACCCCAUCCUCAUUUUCUCGUUGGCAACACGGUGAAAAAGAGGAAAACGAGCGUUUAACGGGGCCGGGGCUCGGCCGCUGGGCACGAACACGAGUGGCAUCGCACACGCGGGGACUCGGGAAGGAGACGUCUCUCGAGGCCCACGGAGACCGGGGGCGGGUUGUGCACGCGUGUCCCCGUCCCCGUGCCAGGUCCCUGCUUCCGACCGAGCGGGUGCCCGGCAGUGACGGGCUCUCGGGGACAGCACUCGCCAAUGACCUGCCACCGAACUCGUGUCGCCGUGCGGGGAGGGGACACGCGUGGGAACGGCCCGGGAGAGGCUCACCUCCCGGCCACGGGCAGCCCCAGCCCGGCGGGAGCGGGGCUGCACUCCGCGACCUUCCUCUACUCGUUAUUUGUAUGGUAUCGCUAUUAAUAGAUACAGGUAGAUAGAUAGAUAGCCUAUUUCUACACCCGAGCAUCCCCAGCCUCCUCCGAACCCUCCCAGCCGCAUUUCCCCUCUACCAGCCCCUCAGAAAGAGCAGCGCGUUAAGCUCCGCUUCCGCCCUUCAUUCCCACAGAUCGAUUUUUUAAUUAUUAUUAUUAUUUUAAAUUUCUAUUUUUUUUUUUUUUAUUAUUUGACUUUCGGGGAGACCGAGCGGCAUCCGACCGCCCCGAGGACGGAGCCGCGUACCCGGGCGGCAGAAGGACUCCCCACCCAAUCCGCCACCAAAGCCGGCGGCGAGCGGCCGGACCGGCAGUCACUGUCGCUGUCACCGUCGCGGCUCCUCCCGCUCCCCUGCGGGCGACUUUCCCAUCUCACGGCCGCGAUCCGAAGGCGAACUCAGCCCCGCAUCGGCUCGCCGUGUUGGCCGAUGUAUUUAUUUUUUUCCGACUUCCCCUCCGCUGCGGGGAGGGGUUGGGAGAGGGGGGGUGCGAAGGCACUUCUUUAAUUGUCCGGGCCCCUAAUGACAUGCAGAGAUGGCUCAAAGGCAGCGGACAUCAAAGCGCAAGGGAAUGGCACGUCGGGCAGGAGAGCCGCGCUGCCCCGCUUGCCAAAGGGACGUCUCCUGCCCCGAACCGCCCCGAAGGUUUCUGCUGCCGAGCGGUGCGGGCAGGCGGCCCCGGCAGGAUUGUAUGCAAAAGCGGUCGGUGGGGAUCCUAAAAAAACCGGACAGCUCAGGGUGAGAUGAGUCUAAUUAUUGCUGGUUCUAAAAAGAGCUGGAACACCCAAGUAGGGCUUAACUCGUCUCCUGGGAAACUGAUGGAGACCUAUUUUACAAGCUGUAAUUCUGCUUUAGACUAUUGCAGGCUAAAGGCAGUUGACACUAUCCUCUUUCUUCUAGAAAUAGUCCUAAUCCUAUAUUUCGGCCGGGGAAAGUCCGCUUCUGCUCCACACUAGAUUAAUCCAGAAACCACAUAAAACCAGCUCUGACCUCCCCCCGUGCCGGACAGGGCAGGGACCGGGCGGAGCAGCCGGGCGAGGCCGGCAACUUGCAGCACGGGGGAUCAGUGUCAAGGACGGAUGGGGCCAACCUCUGAGCUGUGCUGAGCGUGCUGCUGCCGUGUGUGCAUCCCCUAUGAAACCCCAGAUCCCCAUCUCUGAUUGCCUCUUUGUGUCUGUACUUGUGUGCAAUACCUGCGUUACGCUUCAGUAGACUCGGGAGCGGACAGAAGUGCUAUCUCUGCCUCGAGGAUAUUUGAGAAGAUGCUUCUCCGGGAUGGAUCCUUUUAGGAAAAAAUAAAUCGUUAAAACACUCCGGGAAAGCUGAAGAAUGAAUGAAUUUGUGGAGCUUUCUGAGGGAUGCACAUCCGUGCCAUCCUAAGGGUGAACACUCAUCCCACCCUGCAGGACCCCAGCAAUUGCCAUCCAGCACUGAGCCAUGCUACGGCGCUCUGGUCCUCCAGCACAUCCCUCCCUUUGCUGUUGCUCUGCACUACUGCAAAAUUACAGACUGGAGAUGGGGGGCUGAAAGCAGCAGCUCUGCUUCAGGGUGGCAGUGGGACGGGGCAGAAGGUGAGGCUGAUACUGCAAGAGGUUGCCAGGACUUUCUGUUCCCUCCGGGUCCAAUCUGAGGCGUCAUUAGCAAACUAAUAAACUGGCUGCAGAUGUUGAGCCAACAGCAGGCACGUUCCUCAGGAGCAUCCCUGCUAACUCUUGGCUUUGGGAAGCAAUCAGCUCAUCCCUGUGUUUCUCUUUGUGCCCACUCUCUGCCCCACUUCUUCCCUCCUGCCUGGAAUUUUAGGAGAAAAGAAGAAAAAAUAGAAACAGGAAACAAAGCGGGAGCUUCCUCAAAUCAAUUUUUUCAAGUUGAUUUAUUUUCUUUAUAUUGCAGUGGAUGGAGCUCUGUGGCCUUACUGUUUCUCUCGGAAAAUAGAAGUAUUUGUGCCAGUCACAGCAGUGCCAGCACAGAGGUGGCUCUGGCAAUUGGCAAACACCAAUGCCAUACCCAUACCCCGCUGACCCCACCAGAUCCCUCGUGGCCGAAUGGUGUGGGUACGGCAGUAGCGAUGCUGGAGGAGGCAGGCGCUGCCCUGCAUGGGGCCGGAUCUGGGUCCUUGGGGGCAGGAAUACACCAGGGCUGGAGUUUCAUGGGGAAUAGGAAUCCGCCGUGCCCAGGUGGGGCUGCGGCUUCUAAAGUGCCUCUUAAGCUUUCCUGUAUCCUGCUAGCGAGGGAAAAAACUCACAAGGGGAUCCUGCCUGUUCACCUAGCCCUGAAGGGAGAAAAGAGAGGGAUCCCCGAGGCUGGGAGGGCUGCUCUACCCCAAAGCCCAUCUCCAGGCAGGGGGCCGAGGGAGAGGCAUCCUGCUCGCUUCUUUCUGCCUCUAGCUCUGCUUUUUGUGCUGCCCCAGGUAGCGGCCCCAGCGCAUCCCCUGCCGCGGCAGCGCUGUGCUGCACGGAGCAGCACAUUUCCCCCGAGUUACUUAUUAACCACCGUUCGUUUGACAGGAUCGAUAUUUCAAGCUAGGGAGUAAACACUUAAGAAGUAAUGCUCCUCUCUGCUCUCUUUUUCCUCGGCAAAAUGAUUUAUUUUAUAAAAUGCAUCUGCCUGGCAGGGAGGCUGGAGCCCCGUGGCUUUUAUCCGCGGGAUAUGCAAAGCGCAUUUAUUUCGUCUUUUAUCUCUCAUAUUGCGCGUUGAUCCCAUACAUAUAGAUUGAUUUUGUUCAGGUAGAUAAUGAAAAGUCAAGUGGAAAAUUUACACAAAGGCACUCAGGAUCUCCACUUUCUAUUGGUAUAUAAAUUGGUUUAUUACUUCAUUCCCUUAAACAGCGACUUUCACGCUGGGGAACACUUUAAAAUAUAUCAUGUUUAAACACAGAACCAUUUACCUUCCGUGUGGUUUCUCUCUUUCCAUCGGUAAUUUCCUCGCCACUUUUGCUAAUUACCGAAGAUAUUUGUGUUUAAACAAGGGCCCCACCAGCAGCAAUCCGUCUCCCUCCUCCUCCUGCUCCCAGCAUCAAACCACCCCAACCAGAGCUCCCGGCGCUGGGCACGGGGAUGGUGACAAAGCCUGGCAGCGGGCUCUAAUUCCCCGUAAGCAGCUUUGGCUUCGCCACCCCAAGGCAGUGAAUGGAGGGCACUGGACGGGAGAGCGCAGCUCGGAACAAAACCGGCAGGAAACGUUAUUAAUAAACAUCUUCUGGACAUUUGGUGGCUCAUCUAGGCUGCUCCAGCUUAAAGCAAUUAAUUCAGGAUACUGACAUAAACUCUCCAGCUCUUUGACAGCUUGGAGCUGAAAUAAAAAUGCUAGUUCUCCAGGGAAAAGGAGAGGAUAGUUGGCUCUUUUCUGGACUGUUUGCUUAUAGGCCCAGAGAGCAAUCUUCCUUGCAGAAUGAAAUGCAAGGACACAAACAAUGUACCGGAGAGAGAAUAGAAGAUGGGAAUGAACAGUUUGAACUAUUUGCUCAGCAGAAGGGCAGCCACAAUGCUCAACCAAUGGCUUUCCCAUGCAUCAACCGGGCUUCUUAGGCCCUUUUGUUGUUCAUCCUCUUCCUCUGACCAGAUAAGAGCACAGCUGCACGGCCGUCGACUUAGCCACGCAAAUCUGGUGCCGCGCGGAGCCGCGUCCCUGCGGAGCUCGAGGACAAGGUGACACCGGGCAGCGGCACAUCCAGCAACCCCCGCAUUCAGUGCCACCUCCCCACAGCCAGGCUGCUGACCCCUGCCCUCCCCUUGCCCCCUUCCUGCCUCCGUUGCCCAUUGCCCAGGUGGUGCUAUGCUGCUCCGACCCAAACGCCAGCUCCAACCGUGAUGCUACACCGCUUCGUGCCGCCCCAGGCUGGGAUUCGGUGAGCAAGGCUGGAACAAGGUUUGUUUAGCUUGAAAGGGUUUGACGAGGUGAAAAGGCAAAGCGCCGAGGACUAAAGAAAACGCCUGCCUGGCUGAGAUCACACGGAGCACUCGUCGUCAAAGAGCACACCUGCAGGAAGCACCGAGUUUAAACACUGCUGUCACAAAAACCUGAGAAACCUCCGGGUAUUUCAUUGUGGGCUUUUUUUUUUGUCUCUUUUCCCCCUUCUCCCCUACUGGGUGGUCAGGAGAGCAGGAGGGCUCCCAUUGUCUGCAGAGCUGACCCCACGUGUCCCUGCCAUGCCAGCACCUGGCCGACACCGCAACGCCCCAAUCCAGCCCCAAUCUCCAGCCCAGCGCCCGGCAUUGGGCUGCUUAAUGAGACCCUAACGAGGUGCUCAGCCUUCAUUUCCAAAACGCUGCGACGCAGACAAAGGGAAAGUGCAGUCAGCUCCGAGUAAUUUGUGCCGCGCUCCCGGCGAAUGAAUUUAGGGGAGCAAAUAUCGUUAUGCGGGAUUUAAAUUAAAGUUGACACUAAUGUAAAUACGGCAAUGCAACCGGCUGUUUAAGAAGUGUGAUGAGGGUACAGUUUUAAUCAGGUCCUUUUAACUCAGGUGGCAUUUUAAAUCCUCGCCGGUUCAUUUGGAUAACAGUCCCAGAGGAUGUCCUGGAGUGGGAUGGUGAGGGAUGGUUGUCCCGGGAGCUCACCUGGUGAGCAGUGAAUGCAGUGUUGGACGCUGCAGAUGGAUGGACCCCCCCUGCCAAGGGCUGGGUAACAAAGGCAGAGGCGGCAGCUAAAAGGGUUGGUAAUAAAUUCUUGCGGGGUCGGUCAGCGCCUGCCAGAUUUCCCCUGGCGCUCUUGAACAAUCUGCUUCCAGCCUAAAUCAUAGAGCUGAGGCUUGGGGGAAAAAGGGAAAAAAGAAAAAAAAAAAAAAAGAGGAAAGAGCGGAGACCGCCUCACCUACUUCAAAGCCUGAACAGCGCAGAGGUGCUUCACAAUAACAAUAGCACUGGCUGCAGCCUGGAGGAGCUCCAUAACAGGAGCUCUGUAACCUGGCAAGACUCAGAGUUACGGUUACCAGAACAAUAUUUGGCAAGGGAAUUCUCCUGGUUCAUUUUUGUCAAAGGGAACAUAACGCCACUGGCAGGGAUAUGGUGCCAGCACGGCGCUGCGUUGGGUUCAGGCUGCAGUAGUGCCUGGCUUUUCUGGGCAGAGGGUUCAAUACCUAAUAGUAAUAAUAGUAAUAAUAAUCAUAUCACCAACAUCCACUCUGGGGAAGAAAGAAACCUUCUCUUGAGGUUUUCAGACAGCUGGCUGCCUCCAUGCCAUGCGUGCAGGAUGCCCGUGCUGAGCUCAUGUGAAGUUGAGGGUUAAGGUGGGGGGUAGGGUCAGGGCCCCACGUUAACCCAGAGUUUCUCUGGCUCCCGGCCCCACUCGGAGCUGCAGAGCCCUGCCGGUCCCUGCAGGGUAUUGCAUCUUCUCGGAGCUGUCCUAAUCCCCCCGUGUGACUCAGCGCUGUUAAAAUACCAAUGAGAAUAAUAAAAUGGGUUAUAAUGCUAUUAGGUAUUCCCCUUAGCUAUCCUGGCUACCCAAGGAGGAUGGAGUGGGAUGGGGAAGGGAGAGAGGAUGCAAUGGGCAUGGGCAAGGGAGGAUCCUGCAGCUGUCCAUUGGGCUGGAGCUAGGAUUUGGGGGAAGGAAGUGGCUUCUUGCCCGGGUUUUGUUCUGUGGAGGAUCCCCAGGUGGGGUGAUCCUACCCGCAGCCCCCCCCCCCCCCACCAGCCCCUGCCCUUUGCACAGAUGCCUAUGUCCACAAACCCCCCCUAAGCACUUAAUGAGCUCCGAGACGCCUAUUGUCUUGGCAAAGCUGAUUGAAACGGGCGAGGAGUUCAAGGGUUAGGAAGGGAGGGCUGUGUGGAGGCAGACACCCGGUGACACCAGGCUGCCCAGCCAGCAAAUGGGCUCUGCAGCAGCAUGGCACACACUGUGUCCAACACCCAUCACAUGCCAACAUACUGCUGGGUGCUGAGCCCAGACUGUGCGGCAGCUUAUCUGCCUUUAGCACAAAGCUGGGACGAAGUCUGCAUUGCCCAACGCAGAGCUGGAGUGGGCCUUGGACCCAGCCCUGUGUCAGCAGACCUCCCGGCCCUGCUCUGCUCGCUGACAGCCAGUGUUUUUUUACUCCUUGAGACUGUCAGGAAUGUUUUUCAUGCAGGAGUGUAGUGCAUUCAGCAUACUGAAACCGCCUUAAUCUCAGCAAGACCAACAAAGAUAAGGAAUAGCGUUUAAGUUGGCCGAAAUUAGCAAAUGCAUCUGCUGCACAAUGCCCCUGUUACCAUUAGCUGUGACCGGUGAAUGGCACUAGCAAAGUAUGCUGGCAAUGUUUAACAAACCAUCCGUCUUUUACCUGUUCCUACUCAACAGAAACCUUUGUUUGAACCACGGGCCUAUUCAGUCCUGCUGCUGUCUGCUUAUCAGCAAGAUUAAUCUCCGAG